GACGAACGCUGGCGGCGUGCUUAACACAUGCAAGUCGAACGGAAAGGCCCUGCUUUUGUGGGGUGCUCGAGUGGCGAACGGGUGAGUAACACGUGAGUAACCUGCCCUUUCCUUUUGGAUAACUUCAGGAAACUUGGGCUACUACCGGAUAGGAGCUCCUGCUGCAUGGUGUGGUUUGGAAAGUUUCGGCGGUUGGGGAUGGACUCGCGGCUUAUCAGCUUGUUGGUGGGGUAGUGGCUUACCAAGGCUUUGACGGGUAGCCGGCCUGAGAGGGUGACCGGCCACAUUGGGACUGAGAUACGGCCAAGACUCCUACGGGAGGCAGCAGUGGGGAAUAUUGCACAAUGGGCGGAAGCCUGAUGCAGCAACGCCGCGUGCGGGAUGACGGCCUUCGGGUUGUAAACCGCUUUCGCCUGUGACGAAGCGUGAGUGACGGUAAUGGGUAAAGAAGCACCGGCUAACUACGUG
rnacentral:rRNA from 1 species